GUCCACGCCGUAAACGAUGAGUGCUAAGUGUUGGGGGGUUUCCGCCCCUCAGUGCUGCAGCUAACGCAUUAAGCACUCCGCCUGGGGAGUACGGUCGCAAGACUGAAACUCAAAGGAAUUGACGGGGGCCCCGCACAAGCGGUGGAGCAUGUGGUUUAAUUCGAAGCAACGCGAAGAACCUUACCAGGUCUUGACAUCCCAUUGACCGCUAUGGAGACAUGGUUUUCCCUUCGGGGACAAUGGUGACAGGUGGUGCAUGGUUGUCGU
rnacentral:rRNA from 1 species